rnacentral:rRNA from 1 species
UACAGGGGGUGCAAACGUUGCUCGGAAUCAUUGGGCGUAAAGCGCACGUAGGCGGUUCGUUAUGUCGGAUGUGAAAGCCCUUGGCUUAACCGAGGAAGUGCAUCCGAAACUGGCGAGCUAGAGUACUAAAGAGGAUCGCGGAAUUCCCGGUGUAGAGGUGAAAUGCGCAGAUAUCGGGAGGAACACCAAUGGCGAAGGCAGCUCGCUGGGACGGUACUGACGCUGAGGCGCGAAAGCGUGGGGAGCAAACAGG